rnacentral:rRNA from 1 species
AGCGAACGUUUGCGGCGGGCCUAACACAUGCAAGUCGAACGCACUAGCAAUAGUGAGUGGCGCACGGGUGCGUAACACGUGGGUAAUCAACCCUUCAGCUUGGGAUAACGACUUGAAAGGGUCGCUAAUACCGGAUACGGCGAGAGAGGCUUCGGCAUUUCUCGAGAAAGCCUCGCAAGGGGCACUGAAGGACGAGCCUGCGGCCCAUCAGCUAGUUGGUGAGGUAAGAGCUCACCAAGGCGAAGACGGGUAGCUGGUCUGAGAGGAUGAUCAGCCACACUGGAACUGAGACACGGUCCAGACUCCUACGGGAGGCAGCAGUGGGGAAUAUUGCGCAAUGGGCGAAAGCCUGACGCAGCCACGCCGCGUGAGCGAUGAAGGCCUUCGGGUCGUAA